GGGGGGUGGGAAGCUGGUGAAAUAAGGACAUUUAUUGUCCAAGAUUUUCCAAGAAGAUAGCUCACUGGCUGGAGAACUGUGUGGAGGCCCAGGGAUCAGCUGUCCAAUUUGCUGUCUUACCCAUGAGGAAACAGGCCCAGCCUAAGAAAAAGCAGUCCCAGGCCACACAGUGAGCGGACAGUCCAGGCUCUAGCUGUCACACACUGGCGACCUAACUUCCCAGCUGGAGAGCAGCUCCUGCCCGAGGAUCAAGGAUCGAGGACCGGGAAGACACAGACAGGAGGAAGAGUGAAGGUGUUGGUCUCACUUCCUGAAAAUGGAACCGCGAUGGGGCUGACAACCAGUAACAUCAUAUGCAGCAAAGUGUAUCAAGUCAGCAGCAGAGCACUGGCCAAGCCCGCGUGAGGCCCUGGGUUCAGUCCUCAGUACUGAUUAACCGGAGGGGAAAGGCAGGCGGUGGAGCAAAGACAGACGGAAAAGCUGAGACUAGAAAACGAAGGGAAGUCUGUGUGUUGUCUGCUAUUCGGGUCUGGAAGGUUCCUCAAAGGUCAAUGUGUUAAAAGCUUGGUCCCCAGCUAGCUGCUAGUCCUAGCGAUGUUGAGAUAUGGACCUAGAAGUGGUCCUUUGAGCUGCUGGGCUGUCCCUCCAGGGCAGUGUGCAACUCAAGUCUUCCCUUUUUACUUCUGGACCACAAGGGGAAUGGUUUCUCACUACCACAUGCUCCCACCACAAUGAGCUGUCCAUCCCAACAGAGGUCUAAAAGGAAUGCACCCAACCUAGUCAGAGGGCCCAGCCUCAACAGGUGUAGGCUUACAAUUUUUUGAGAUGCUCUUAUACAGUCAGGCCAGCCUUGAACUCCUUACCCUCCUCCACCUCCUCCCAAGUGUAGGGAUCACAGGACUGUACCAUCAUAUUCAACUUUCUGUAACUCGGUUGCACCAGGUAUUUGUUGUUGUGGCAGGAAGCUGACUGACAGCCCCAGCUCCCACGAUGGAAUCUCAGCCGGGACGGCUCAAUGGCUACGAGCAACGUGAAAAGACACCAAGCGAACUGUGGACUUCAAAGACUCAAGAGCGUGAAGACAACGCGCAGAGCAGGUGGAGGUGUUGCUAGCUGCAAAUUACAUGUCUACCAGCGGACUCCACCUGAUAAAGGACUCACGACUCAGAAAAGACAAGAGACAAAUGAUAUGAGUAGAAAUUCCUCCCACAUCCGAAUGGCCAGCCAGUAAGAAUAUGAGCAGGUGUGAAGCAUCCUUAGCCUCCGGGGGAGUGAAGUCGGAGCCAGAGAAGAUGCCCCUUUACACGGGGAAGGUGCAAUUCCAAAAGUUCUAGAAGGGUUGGUGAGGAAGUAGAAGAACUACAGCCCGCUCCUCUAGGAGGGAGGUCUCCUUGGUAUCCGAAUGGCUGUAAGCCCCAGCAAUCCCACAAGAACUGAAAGCACGGGUCUAGGCAGCAGCUUCCUUGUGACAUUGGGUAUAACAGCACAAGAGGUAAGUACCAGAGUCUGAUGGACAGUGAGAACAUGACCUAGUGUCCAGUGAGCAUGCAGGGUGGGGACGCGCAUCCUCACCUCUCUGGGAUCAAUGCCCAGGAAUGAAAUGCUUUAACAGUUUUUAAAAUGACCGCACAACUGGGCAGGAUGAUCCACACCUACACUCCCAGCACCUGGGGAAGGAAGGCAGGAGAAUCAGGAGUUCAAGGUCAGCCUGGGCUACUGCAUAAGGCCCUCCUUCUAAACAAAAACAAAAACAACCAAAAAACAAAGCAAAAACAAAAUUACCAAAAACAAACAAAAAACCCAAAUGCCAAAACAAAUAACAAAACCCAACCACACAGCUUUCCAAAGCCCUCCCGCGUUUUACAUUCUCAGGGGAAGUUGGCAUUUAAGCUGGGAACUUCACAGAUGGGAAGAGGUCAGUCCUGGGUCAACAGGAAGAAGCCUGGCAGGCACCGGAAGCAGCUGGAGUGAGUGCCUGAGAUCCCACAAAGGGGAAAGAAUGACUGCUGGAUCUGAGGGACGACAGAUCUGCACUGUGCGGCGUGUGGGGGUGAACGUGAGGGAUGAGGACCUCGUGGGACAUAAAUGCAAGCCACCCGUUCAAGGCAUCAGCUCAGAGUGGGGCUAACUUGCAUCUGAACCCUGCCUUAGCCUGGAAGACGCUGCGUAAGUGUCUCAACCUCUGAGCCAAGUUCCCUGCGACAAGGGGGUCCGAGGACCGCGCUGGAGAGGGGAAAGGCCCAGGCAGCCCAUCAGACUGGUGUCAAGGCUGCCUCGUGACUCUGCAGCAGCAAAAGCCACCACUGGACUCUAGAGCCAGUCAGGACUCUGAGCAGGACUGUGCACCGAUCGUCCAGGAGUACUUGUCCUGCCGUGACUGGCUGCAACCCAGGCACAGCCACACAGGGCUAGGUGUAGGGAGGAGCAUAGGCUCCCUUGCCCUCUCAGGGGUCCCCACACCAGCAUCAACACCUCAGCAACCCCAAACUCCAGGGCUCCAUCAUUUAAGAAUAUUUUUGGAUCUUCUUUAUGUAGCCAUCACCACUGGUGACAGAGUUCAUCUUCCAGCCCUCUCCAUCACCACGCAGUGUGAGGCAGGAAGUCCCACUCCUCUAGUCCUACCUGGGUCUUUCUGGCGACCAGGCCCUAUCCUAGAACUACUCCGAAGGGCCCCCAGGCUCCUGAGGACCUCAUCCACACGCCGAAGUUCCAAAUACAAGCCAGAGGCCCAGCCGCAGAGCUGAAGUGACCGUCACACACACUCCAGGAACAGGACCCUGCCACCUUCCCUGGCCACUCAGGCAAAGAGAGACUGCCUGGGGAGAACCAGGCAGGGGCCAAGGCAGGGCAGCCACAGCCCCUGGAGGCUCCCGGGGCGCGGGCUCCUGACCUUGCCUCCUCCUCUCUGCCUGUGCCAGGAGACCUCUGCGUGAUGGCAGGUGGGUCACUUGUGUUCUGUGCACCAGAUAAAAGGACAGACAGAACCAGACUCUAGGAUUCUAAAGGACCUGCCAGGGGAGAAAAAGAAAGCCAGCUUCCUCCCACCCUGUUUAAUCUUCCCUCAUCCCUUCUCCCUCCUCCUCCCCUCUCCCCCCCCACCAUACACUCUGUGGUGGAGUCUGAAGGACCCUCUAACAUCCAGGAGUCCCCUCAGCAGCCUGCCCCCAUUCCAGCACCUUGGUUCGAUCGGAUCUGUCAGGAAGUGCCAGAGGUUGCAGGGCAGGAGCAGAAUGGGACUUAAUCUUCCCUGGAAUAUUAAUGGUCCCGUCAGGAGUGCCAGGGACGAGCUGAGCAGCAAUCUGCCUUUAUUAACAAGGCGGUGCCAGCUGGAGCACUGUCCCUUCCCCCACUUGCAGCUGGGUCGCUGUCACUGUCAGCAGUAGCAACGCGGUGGAGGGGCCAGUCCCAGGGCAGGGUAGGUGUGACAGAAGGAGGGCUUGGCGGAAGUCAGGAGCCCCAAGACACUCAGCCCCACCUCGCCAGCUCUGACCUGACCCCUCCACCAUCUGCUACUGGGGCUACAGCCUGUCCCUCUGGGCUGUGCCUGUCACAGGCACCUGCCCUCUCUGUAAUUGUCUGGCCUGAUGCUUCACUGCCCUGGCAACACUAUGGAGUCUCCUAGGGAAUGCCAACCAUCUCGAUGUCCUGCCCACCCAGGACCCCUCGCCUCACCUGCUCCUCCAGGUGCGGUCCUGUCUGUGGGUCAGGUAUGCUUUCACAUAUGAUAUCCUCGAGCUGUGAGUCAACUGCUUCGACCAGGUUUAUAGUGGAAGAAACCCAGGCAGAGGUGGAGUGAGCUGCUCAGACACGCGGAGAGCAGAGCUUUCUUAGACCUGAGGAAGGGACAGUCCUGGGAGAAGACAGGCACCUAUGGCUAGGAACAAACAUCUCAGGAGCCAUGAAGGAAGCAAGCCACAUGGAGGCUGCUGCUCACAGAGCACUCUGUCCUUGCCUGGGGGCUCUCAGGGGCUUUGAUGCCCAGAUUAUUCGUGGGGUAACUGAGUCUGGGCAUACUGAGGUAUUCCAGGCAACUUCUCAGGCCACCAUAGUUAUGAGCUGGAAGGUGAGACCAGAUGUUGAAGAUGUGUUGGAGGAAGGAGUGUCUCCUCACCUCCAAGUCUGGAUGUGAUGUGCACGUGCAUGCGUGUGUGUGCCAGAGGAUGUCAGUCACAAGUGUGCAGAAUAUAUGUAAAAGUACAUGUGUUGUGCAAGGGGUUUGGACGUGUUUGCUUUGAUCCCGUCUGGGCGCCAGCCUGAACCAGCUCCCAGGCCUCUGAGGACAACUGCUUGGUGAGCCGAGUGGACUAAUGAUAUGGCCAUGGACUCUAUGAGUAACACGGGGAGGGCACAUAAUUUAGUCACCUUUACUCCACUGAACUAUUUAAGCCACCAUGGGAAUGAGGUUAUGAAGCUGAGAUUAACCACUGGUGCUGUGGCUGUGAGCAAUACAUUUUUCCUUUUGUUCACCAAAUUGAAUUAAUUGAAGUUGCUCACAAUCAAUUGGUUCUGAUUCCCCUACAGUGAAAUGAGGCAUUUGCUUCGGGACACGUUUCACUCACUGCAAUGAGCCUUCCAGGCCAGAGGAGGCGCAGCAGACUCUCUCCCCCGCCACACGCUGCACCCUGACCCCUAAGGAAGGUCAAUCUGACCUAAACCUUGUAGAUUGAAAUGAGUGACCUGUCCCUGCCACUGUGACGACACCAUCACUGACAGAACAGCAGUGUCCAUUGGUGAGGACAUCCUCUGCCUCAGGCCUGGACUCACUAGCCUAGGCUGAGAGGUGACGACACCUGCCUCAGGUGACAAAAGUCAGCAACACCCACAGUGGAGGAAUCACCCCAAAGCCAUUGUCGCACCCCAGGUGUGUCCUUGACUCUGGCUAGAGCCCUGCAACCCAGCUGCUGUAAGACGUGCUCUCAGACAAUAAACGCAAAACCAUC